rnacentral:lncRNA from 1 species
GACAUUCACUCCUGGUUGGUGUCCCCAACCAGGACUAAACGGGUUGCGGCAGGAGCGACACCCUUUAGAUCCGGUUGGUGUCUUUAACCGGGACUAAAUGUCCGUCUUUAGUCCCAGUUUUAGACACCAACCGGGAUUAAAAAUGUGUCUAUAUAUAUCAUCGUCCCUGUCUGCCUUUUUCUUUGUUUUUUUCUCAGAGAAGGAGGGAGGUGUGUGCAAGUUUGUUUUACUUUUUAUGCACAAUGGGUGUUCGAUGAAAUGACUGAAAGCAUGAUGCCACUUGAAUUCACAAGCCACACUUCAGAUUUUCCUCUUUCUUUGUAUAUGUGUAGGUGUGGUUUAAUUUAGGGUGUCGUCCCGUCCCCGUCCAGAUCACCGUCGAUCACCCGCGCCGAUCUCGUCGCCGACACCACCAUGUUCAGCCUCUUGUUGUAUCUUAAAAAAAAAACUUACCUGUAAUAUUUUUUGUUACUUGUGUAUUUUUCUUACUUGUAUAUUAUUGUUUGCUAUAUAGUGCGAUCGUUUUGAUAUUCACCCCCGUCAGCUCUCCUCCGGUCUAUGGUUCGGAUGUGGCAUAUUAUCUUUUAUAAC